rnacentral:rRNA from 1 species
CAGUAGCCGCGGUAAUACGAAGGGUGCAAGCGUCAAUCGGAAUUACUGGGCGUAAAGCGUGCGUAGGCGGUGAGUUAAGUCUGCUGUGAAAUCCCCGGGCUCAACCUGGGAAUGGCAGUGGAUACUGGCUCGCUAGAGUGUGUCAGAGGAUGGUGGAAUUCCCGGUGUAGCGGUGAAAUGCGUAGAGAUCGGGAGGAACAUCAGUGGCGAAGGCGGCCAUCUGGGACAACACUGACGCUGAGGCACGAAAGCGUGGGGAGCAAACAGGAUUAGAUACCCCGGUAGUCCCUGUCUCUUAUAC